AUCAACACAAACCGGGAACCUCCACCACGUGCUCGAUAUGAGGGGUGUUGACGUCGGGGGGAAACCCUCCUGUAAUCAGCGGGAUAGAGCGAAAGACAAAGACCGGAAACAAACUAAAGCGCCGCUAAGGGCGCUUUAGUUUU
rnacentral:sRNA from 1 species